rnacentral:rRNA from 1 species
CAGUAGCCGCGGUAAAACGUAUGUCACAAGCGUUAUCCGGAUUUAUUGGGCGUAAAGCGCGUCUAGGUGGUUAUGUAAGUCUGAUGUGAAAAUGCAGGGCUCAACUCUGUAUUGCGUUGGAAACUGUGUAACUAGAGUACUGGAGAGGUAAGCGGAACUACAAGUGUAGAGGUGAAAUUCGUAGAUAUUUGUAGGAAUGCCGAUGGGGAAGCCAGCUUACUGGACAGAUACUGACGCUGAAGCGCGAAAGCGUGGGUAGCAAACAGGAUUAGAUACCCGCGUAGUCCCUGUCUCUUAUACA